rnacentral:rRNA from 1 species
CACGUAGGGCGCAAGCGUUGUCCGGAAUUAUUGGGCGUAAAGAGCUCGUAGGUGGUUUGUUACGUCCGCUGUGAAAACCUAGGGCUUAACCCUGGGCUUGCAGUGGAUACGGGCAGACUAGAGGUAGGUAGGGGAGAAUGGAAUUCCUGGUGUAGCGGUGAAAUGCGCAGAUAUCAGGAGGAACACCGGUGGCGAAGGCGGUCUCUGGGCCUUACCUGACGCUGGAGGAGCGAAAGCAUGGGGAGCAAACAGG